rnacentral:rRNA from 1 species
CCUACGGGAGGCAGCAGUGAGGAAUAUUGGUCAAUGGACGCAAGUCUGAACCAGCCAUGCCGCGUGCAGGAUGACGGCUCUAUGAGUUGUAAACUGCUUUUGUACGAGGGUAAACCCCGAUACGUGUAUUGGGUUGAAAGUAUCGUACGAAUAAGGAUCGGCUAACUCCGUGCCAGCAGCCGCGGUAAUACGGAGGAUCCGAGCGUUAUCCGGAUUUAUUGGGUUUAAAGGGUGCGUAGGCGGUUUGAUAAGUUAGAGGUGAAAUGUCGGGGCUCAACCCCGAAACUGCCUCUAAUACUGUUGGACUAGAGAAUAGUUGCGGUAGGCGGAAUGUAUGGUGUAGCGGUGAAAUGCUUAGAGAUCAUACAGAACACCGAUUGCGAAGGCAGCCUACCAAACUAUAUCUGACGUUGAGGCACGAAAGCGUGGGUAGCAAACAGGAUUAGAUACCCGAGUAGUC